CGAGGGGCAGCGGGGGUGCAGGCUUGCCUGCACCUGCCGGCGACCGGCGCACGGGUGAGUAACACGUAUGGAACCUGCCCGCCACAGGGGGAUAACCCGGGGAAACCCGGCCUAAUACCCCAUGCCGCCCGGACCGGGCAUCCGGACCGGGCGAAAGGAGGAAUCCGGUGGCGGCUGGGCAUGCGGCGCAUUAGCUUGACGGCGGGGUAACGGCCCACCGUGGCGACGAUGCGUAGGGGUUCUGAGAGGAAGGCCCCCCACACUGGAACUGUGACACGGUCCAGACUCCUACGGGAGGCAGCAGUGAGGAAUAUUGGUCAAUGGGCGGAAGCCUGAACCAGCCAAGUCGCGUGAGGGAAUAAGGCCCUACGGGUCGUAAACCUCUUUUGCCGGGGAGCAAGGGCCGGGACGAGUCCCGGCCCGGAGAGUACCCGGAGAAAAAGCAUCGGCUAACUCCGUGCCAGCAGCCGCGGUAAUACGGAGGAUGCGAGCGUUAUCCGGAUUUAUUGGGUUUAAAGGGUGCGUAGGCGGGCUUUUAAGUCAGCGGUAAAAAUUCGGGGCUCAACCCCGUCCGGCCGUUGAAACUGGGGGCCUUGAGUGGGCGAGAAGAAGGCGGAAUGCGUGGUGUAGCGGUGAAAUGCAUAGAUAUCACGCAGAACCCCGAUUGCGAAGGCAGCCUUCCGGCGCCCUACUGACGCU
rnacentral:rRNA from 1 species